CACGCCGUAAACGAUGGGUGCUAGGUGUCGCGGGCUUUGACUCCUGCGGUGCCGUAGCUAACGCAUUAAGCACCCCGCCUGGGAAGUACGGCCGCAAGGCUAAAACUCAAAGGAAUUGACGGGGGCCCGCACAAGCGGUGGAGCAUGUGGUUUAAUUCGACGCAACGCGAAGAACCUUACCUGGGCUAGAAAGUAUAAGAACCUGGAAGAAGUUUCGGGGUGCUCUUCGGAGAACUUAUAGUUAGGUGC
rnacentral:rRNA from 1 species